rnacentral:rRNA from 1 species
AUUGAACGCUGGCGGCAGGCCUAACACAUGCAAGUCGAACGGUAACAGGAAACAGCUUGCUGUUUCGCUGACGAGUGGCGGACGGGUGAGUAAUGUCUGGGAAACUGCCUGAUGGAGGGGGAUAACUACUGGAAACGGUAGCUAAUACCGCAUAACGUCGCAAGACCAAAGAGGGGGACCCUCGGGCCUCUUGCCAUCGGAUGUGCCCAGAUGGGAUUAGCUUGUUGGUGGGGUAACGGCUCACCAAGGCGACGAUCCCUAGCUGGUCUGAGAGGAUGACCAGCCACACUGGAACUGAGACACGGUCCAGACUCCUACGGGAGGCAGCAGUGGGGAAUAUUGCACAAUGGGCGAAAGCCUGAUGGAGCCAUGCCGCGUGUAUGAAGAAGGCCUUCGGGUUGUAAAGUACUUUCAGCGGGGAGGAAGGGAGUAAAGUUAAUACCUUUGCUCAUUGACGUUACCCGCAGAAGAAGCACCGGCUAACUCCGUG